rnacentral:tRNA from 1 species
GGGGGUAUAGUUCAAUGCUAGAGCAUGUGCUCAACAUGCACAAGGUCCUGGGUUCAACCUCCGGUAGCUCCA